rnacentral:lncRNA from 1 species
UUUCUAAAUUUGAACUAACAUUACAACUAACAUUGUUUUGUAUUCUUUUAUCAUAUUUUAUGUAUUUUUACAGUUUUUUUGAUCUCAAAAAGGAAACUAAAAUAAUACCUAAUUUUGUUUUAAUUUAUUUUUUAAUUUAUAAUGUGUUGUUGUCUAUCACAGUAUUACCUUUUAUUCACAGGAUGUUUGAAGAACUAAUUUACGGGUACUGCUCAUCACUAAAUACCAUUUACGAAAAUCAUUUUUUGAAUAAUGAAAAAGAAGACAAUAAAAAAUUUUCAUCUUCUUUUGAUUUUUCAUCUACCACUGAUAAUAAUAAUAAUAAUAAUUAUGUUAUAAAAAAAAAGUUUGGUUUUUUCCGAGCUUUAAAAAAUGUACUAGUGUUAAUGUUUAAGGGGUUGAGGUUAAAUAAGUACCAUUUAGACAUUUUGAGCAACUGUUCUGUGUUAUGUUUUUUGGAUAAUAGUGGAAUACUAGUUAAUAGUAUUCACAACAUUAAAGAAAUAUGUAUUUACAAUUGUUUAAAUGAAAAUAAAAAAGAUACAUUGUCUAAUAAUCAGAUUCCAAAACACUCAAAUAGUAAUUAUAGAAAUACCUUAACCAUUAUUGAUGUAUUUAUGGAUAAUAAAAGUAUGUACGCUUAUCAGAGAAUAACAAAUAUUAGAAUUUUAAAUGCUUUAUUUUUAAUAUUUAAUUAUACACAAGUACCCAAAUAUAUCAAGUUUUUUAAUGAGUUCCAAAGUAAUAUUAUAUAUUACAUGAACCAACCUGAGUACAGUCAUAUGUUUAAUUGUCUUUGUGAUAUCGGAAACGUCUCUUAUUCAAAUAAUAAGUUUUUGUUUUAUAUGCUUUUUUUUUGUGUUGAAAACAAAAGCGAUUACGAAUUAUACAAAAAAAUUUCUAGUGAACUAAAAAAAUAUAAAAAAACAAACGUACAGUUAGAUGAUAACAUACCUUAUAAUAUAGAUACAACAGCAGAAAAAGACAAUCAUAUUGGAAUAAAUAUAUAUGACACUUUAACAGUACGUGAUAAUUUUGUUUUUAUUUUUAUUCUAUAUGAAAAAAAAAAAGACAAAUAUCAUAUGUUUUUGAAGGUUGGAUAUGUUACUUUUACCAACACAUUGUUAUUGUUUCUACUAUUUUUUAUAUUUCAAUAAAUAUUAUAAAUAUUACUAUCACGAUUUUUGCAGGGACAACUAGACGCAUUAGUUACAAAAUGUAUGUUUUACUAUGAUGGACAAAUUAUAAAAAAAUUAGAAAGAAAAAAAAAAAAAUUACUAAGAAUAUUAAAUAUGCAAUGGAUAUCGUCUGGUAAGACACAUGCAUGUGUGCACAUAUAUACAUAUUUGAAAACAUAGUUGUAAAAAUAAUCAAAUUUUAUUAUUUAUUAUUUAUUAUUUAUUCAAUUAUUCAAUUAUUCAAUUAUUUUUUU